rnacentral:snRNA from 1 species
GGAUGUGAGGGUGAUCUGGCUGCAACAUCUGUCACCCCUUUAAUAGCCAGGGUUGACUUGGCUGAUCUGGCUGGCUAGGCAGGUGUCCUCUUCCUCCCUCGCACUCCAUGUGAGUUCCUUCUGAAGCUGCAUGCUAGGUUGAAAUGAUGAUCUUCCCCUAAUAGAGGAGGACCUGUCUUCAGUUAGGGGUGUAGGAGUUGCUGCGCUUCCCUGCUAGAAUGUCCAAACAAGCUCUCAGGGUCCAUUUGUAGAAGAACGUAGGGUAGUCAAGCUUCCAAGAAUCCAGACACAUUCAAAGGAGGUGCUGCACUUGGCAGUCUGCCUUUGU